rnacentral:lncRNA from 1 species
CGGGCCGGCCUCCGGGGGUCGCGGGGAGGGCGCGGCGCGGAGGACCGGCAGGCCCCGCCCCGGGACUGCCGCACCGCGGGGAGGGCCGGCUGCGCACCGAAACUGCCGGGUCCCGGGCGGGCCGCGCCCCGAGCUGGGCGGCUCAAUAGGGAAGACACUGGAGGAGCUGGGAGACCAAGUGAAGCCUGGCGUUUAAGAGUAAGUCCUUGUUAACUCCCAGCUGGGGCAGUCACUCUGCCUUUGCAACUCUCCUGUAAAUCUUCAGUUUUUUCCUCAAUAAAAUAAGUUUUUAAAAACCCA